AGAGUUUGAUCCUGGCUCAGGACAAACGCUGGCGGGGUGCAUGAGACAUGCAAGUCGAACGGGGUUGAGCGGGCUUGCUCGAUCAACCUAGUGGCGGACGGCUGAGUAACGCGUAGGUGACCUACCCGGAAGUGGGGAAUAACUGCCCGAAAGGGUGGCUAAUACCGCAUGUGGUCGGCGAUUCGGUUCGCCGCCCAAAGCCGUACGGCGCUUCCGGCGGGGCCUGCGUCCGAUUAGCUAGUUGGUGGGGUAAUGGCUCACCAAGGCGACGAUCGGUAGCUGGUCUGAGAGGAUGAUCAGCCAGACUGGGACUGAGAACGGCCCAGACUCCUACGGGAGGCAGCAGUCGGGAAUUUUGCCCAAUGGACGAAAGUCUGAGGCAGCAACUCCGCGUGAGGGACGAAGGCCUUCGGGUCGUAAACCUCUUUUCUCAGGGAAGAUCCAAGACGGUACCUGAGGAAUAAGCCACGGCUAACUACGUGCCAGCAGCCGCGGUAAUUC
rnacentral:rRNA from 1 species